GGCCGGCGGACCGAGCUGGGACAGAUGCCACCCCCGGGACUUUCCCGGAGAGCAGCCCCGGGGCGGUGGAAUCACACUCCUGCGCUCAGACACACGGCCUCCUGCUCCCUGCGCUCCCUCCCGCCCCCUCUUCCUCUGCCUCUUCCUCAGAUCCUCUCUCCUCUGAUUUCUUCGCGCGCUCUCGCCCGGUCUCUGUAGGUUUCCCUCUUCCUUCCUCCCUCGCCUUCCCUUUCUCUCUCCCCCCAUCCCCGUGUCUGUCCCCCUUUCUCUUUCCGUGAGACAGUUUGUGUUACUUCACCAGCAGCAUGGAACAAGUCCUCUGCUUUCGUCCGCCCUGUCCCCUGUCCCCCAGCAGCAGGGGCGAAUGGGCCUGCGCUCUGCACCAACAGUCACCUGCAAGGCUCUGCUGCACUCCCCUUCCCCUGUAUUCAGCCCAGCCAGUCACCGGGAACUCCCCCUACACAGCCUCUGGUGACCGAGGACCUUGCUAGGCCCAGUCCUGCUCCCCUGGCCCUUGCGUCUACUCUUCGCCUCCUCCCAGGUGAAGUACUCGGCUCAGAGGAGGGACUGAAGCCCGGCAUGGAUGCUGUGUCUGAGCAGAAAGUCAGAGAGCCCGCCCAGCCUGCUUCUCCGGGAAGGAAACUGGCCUGGAAGGCUGACCAAGGAUUGGGGUUGGGGUGCUCCCUUUGAGCCAGCGCUGUGAAGGGAGAGAUGCUGUGCCUGACCCCACACCCCCCCGCACCCCCACCCAGGCCUGGUGCUGAGGAUACAGCUCUUCUCAGUGUCUGAACACAAUCUCCAAAAUUGAAAUGUAUAUUUUUGCUAGGAGCCCCAGCUUCCUGUGUUUUUAAUAUAAAUAGUGUACACAGACUGACAGAACUUUAAAUAAAUGGGAAUUAAAUAUUUAAGAGUUGAUGCA
rnacentral:lncRNA from 1 species